GGCAGCACACAUUAAAUCCAUUGAUAAUCACCAUCUUCUAGAAAUAGGGCUAGAAGGAUAUUAUGGCGACUCAAAGAAGCAAUCAAAUCCUGGCAACCUCCUUUUUGGCACUGAUUUGAUCUCCAACAACGAAAUCCCGCAAAUAGAUUUUGCCACCAUUCAUCUCUACCCAGAUCAAUGAUUAAUGCAAUGGCAGGUUGCCAAAUUCAAGUGAAGAAGAGCAAGACUCAUUUGUGGAUAGAUGGAUCCAAGACUCCAGAUCGGUGCUUAGAAAGCCACUCGUUAUAGGAGAGUUUGGCAAGUCUUCAAAGCUCCUCAAAUUUGUUAAUAAAUCUCGAAUACCGAAUAAUUUAUUCAAUGAGUAAUUUUACUUUGAUCAAUGGUUCAAUAAAGUUUGAAACCUUUUACCCAAAUAA